ACACAUGCAAGUCGAGGGGCAGCAUGAACUUAGCUUGCUAAGUUUGAUGGCGACCGGCGCACGGGUGAGUAACACGUAUCCAACCUGCCGAUGACUCGGGGAUAGCCUUUCGAAAGAAAGAUUAAUACCCGAUGGCAUAGUUCUUCCGCAUGGUAGAACUAUUAAAGAAUUUCGGUCAUCGAUGGGGAUGCGUUCCAUUAGGUUGUUGGCGGGGUAACGGCCCACCAAGCCUUCGAUGGAUAGGGGUUCUGAGAGGAAGGUCCCCCACAUUGGAACUGAGACACGGUCCAAACUCCUACGGGAGGCAGCAGUGAGGAAUAUUGGUCAAUGGACGAGAGUCUGAACCAGCCAAGUAGCGUGAAGGAUGACUGCCCUAUGGGUUGUAAACUUCUUUUAUACGGGAAUAAAGUGAGGCACGUGUGCCUUUUUGUAUGUACCGUAUGAAUAAGGAUCGGCUAACUCCGUGCCAGCAGCCGCGGUAAUACGGAGGAUCCGAGCGUUAUCCGGAUUUAUUGGGUUUAAAGGGAGCGUAGGCGGACGCUUAAGUCAGUUGUGAAAGUUUGCGGCUCAACCGUAAAAUUGCAGUUGAUACUGGGUGUCUUGAGUACAGUAGAGGCAGGCGGAAUUCGUGGUGUAGCGGUGAAAUGCUUAGAUAUCACGAAGAACUCCGAUUGCGAAGGCAGCCUGCUGGACUGUAACUGACGCUGAUGCUCGAAAGUGUGGGUAUCAAACAGGAUUAGAUACCCUGGUAGUCCACACAGUAAA
rnacentral:rRNA from 1 species